ensembl:lncRNA
AUGAUGGCAAGGAGUAAUGGCCUGCAGCUGCCCGGCCCCUGCCCACCCCUACCAACCAGAGCCAGGACUGAUGCACAGAGCACAGAGCUCAGCACAAGCAGGUCAGGAUGGCUCAGGAAAGGGUGGCAUCGGUGGAGCAGGGCUGAGUCUCAGGGCACAAUGGCACACCCCAGCUGUCUGCUUCUCCUGGUUCACCCAGUAGGGUGUGGGCUGGCACUGAGAUGUGCAGUGAAGCCAUGGCCCUCCCUUCUCCCCACUGCAGGACCCACUCGACCCAGGAUGAGACCUUGGAGCUGCGCAGAGGAACUCCUGCAUAUGGGGGGGAGCAGCCAGCUGCCCCCCCUUCCCAAGGCAGACCAGCUCUGGCCAGGAUUGUCAGGCUUGUGCUGGUGCUGCGGGACUGGGCCAGCAAGAGCUUGCAGGAGGAGCAGCAGAAGCCAGACCCCUUCCUUGAGCGCUUCCAGGGUCCUGAGCUGCAGACAGUGCCUGCUGAUGCCAGCAGUGAUCCAGAGGAUGAGGAGGCCGAGGAGAAAACCAAAAAGUAGGGCCCUUCCCUGUGACGCAGCCUCCCUGGGCUGAAGAUUGGCCACAGGCGAUGCUGUGUCAGCAGCAAUGGGAGAAGGGCAGGUGUCCCACGGGCAGUGGGCUCAGCUCUGCCCAGGGACAGGGGGUGGCAGCAGCGGGAGGGCUCCGCUGUGCUCUGCUGGCAUCUGAGCCAAAGUGGGUCUGCAAAAAGCUGUACUGGCCAAGGAGGAGCCAAGGGACGUGGAGAGUCCACACUGGAUGCCAAGGCAAGCACAAACCAGUGGGCUCCUCCAGCCUCAUUCAUCAUUGCAGGAGGAAGGGAGAUGAAGGGAGUGCGUUUUGCUGCCCGUCUCCCCGCCUCCGAGGGCAGACACCGUGACGGCAGCUUUCUGAAAAGGCUCAUUCAGACCCAGUGCUUUCAUCUCCUCACUUCGCACUGCCGGUGAAAAGCAAUAACCUGGCUUUUCUUCAGCUGGCUAAUUAAGGGGCAAAGCUCACGACUAGUCUGGACCCUACCAUUGUACACGGUAAUUAAAACACCAAGAAAUGAAUCCUUUUCUAUAGGAGGCAAGUAUCUGAGCCUUGUAUCAAGGCUGUUACUAGUCACGGGAAAAAAAAAGUGCUCUGCCCUGCGAGGUGAAAAGGAGCUUGUUAAUUACUGGAGGGAGAGGAGCUGAUGUGUGCUGAGAGGGCUGCUCCGUGCCUACGGCUCCCUGGGAAAAGCUGCACUCUGCACGGUAUCUGCAGGGGAUGGGACAGUAGAAUUUAGUGCCAUCACCCUACGGUCUGUAAAUCCCUGCUGAAGGGAUAAGAUUAAGGUCCCUGGGCUGGGGGAGGUGUGUACAUUUGGUGCUGCCCCACAGACUUCAGAAGGGGGACAACUACACUCCUGGGGAGAUGGUGGCAUUGGUGACUUAAAGCUGAAACUACCAACAUGAUUAUCGUUGCUAUUGAGAUUAUUAGUACUUGUGAUACAGGUAUUACAGCAGUGCUGGCUGGUUGCAGGUAAGUUGGUAUUUCCCAGAUGCCAGUUACCUUAUGCCUCAGAUUGCAA